AUCUCGUUGAUUCAGACCGUUUACGUUCAUAUUGCGCACCAAAGCAACGAAACUAUAAUUUUUAACUUCUAAACGUUCUACUUAGCGUGAUGGACCGAUUUAACUUAUAGAUACUUAUAGUUCUUAUCGUACUUAUAAAAUAUUAAUUGUUGCAGGUUUGUUUUACGACAUUUCCUCGAUUAAAAUAUGUUUACUGUACACAAACGAAAUAUAUGUUCGGAAAACAAGUUUGAGUUAACACAGAUAACACAUAACAUUCAUACAUCAGUGAAGUGUAUUAUUAUUUUAUGCAAAAAACAGUUUUUUGUCACCUUUCGAAUUGCGUGAUACUGCUGAUACUUACGAGGUUAACCGACCAGACUCAAACAGCAAAAUACGGCAUUACAGUAUCAUAGAAUCGAAACACCAGUAACAUGAACGAACAGGAAUAGAAGCGCGAAGAAAAAUAAUUUAUGCUACGCAACCAGUUACACAUAAGGCAGUACCUCCAACAAAAUGCCACAACUUAUAAACAAAGCCAAGAUGGAAGUACUGGAAAUAAUCGCGACGGAAGAAAAUAUAGACGACUUGUUGUUCAGGAAAUCACCGACUAGGAACCACUAUUGAAAAUAGAGUUUAUCAGAAAAUACGUGACAGCCAGUGGUUUUUUUUAACAGUAAAAUAUGGUGGUACCAUUUACAAGAAAAGCGAUUUAAUAUAAAAUUACAUCAGAACUACAGAAGAAAACAACAUCUACACUAUUGAGAUAAAAGUUGGAAAUUUAAAUAUUAUAACAAAUAUCUAUAGAUCCUCGAAUAUAAAAUAGCUUACUACUACACUCCACUUUGUUAGUCACUUCUCUAUCUACAUAAGUGAUUUCAAUAGUCAGUGGCAUAUUUUUUGGUUGUUGAAAGGUUGUCGGUUCUCGACCGUCCAAGAAGAAAAUAAAGUUCAAUAUUCAUAAAUGACUUGCUACGAAGUUAUUGAAAAAGAUAACAUUGAUUUAUAUCACGUGGAUGUAAUUUUCAUAAAAAAUAAAACACUUGAUGUGUUUUUUUAAAUAUUAUAAAAUCGCUUAUUUUUUUAGAAAAAAUUUUAAGCCAUAUUCUACAAAACAUUUGAGAAUAUACUACUGUCAAUAGUCAUAAUAUUGUGUGGCGUUACAAAGAGAAUGAUACUAAAGGAGAUGAAGUCGCUGAUUGGAGUGAUGCCAAGGGCCUGGAAUUAGUUUGCAACGCUAAACAAUGGCGACCCUUCCAAUCUGCCCGAUAAAACAGGGAGCAUAAUCCGGAUUUGUGUUUUGUAUCUACCAACCGCAUAGGUACUAAAUUGUUUACUUUAAAAAGAGUUCUAACGGAUUUUCCGACACGGACCGUUCGUCACAGAAGUCGGAUAUACUAGAGGCGAGGUAUUGCUUUCAUAAGGAUAGUUGGCCAUCAUUUACUAAAAGUUUAGACGAUAGCGUACGGUGUAUUUUAAGCUGUACUGAUCGAUUCUAACGCUUGACUCUUCAUUAUCAGCACCGUGAAAAAUCGCAUUCCGCGCAGUUACACAAAACAUUACGUCCUUGAACGGUUAAGUUUCGAUGAACGCGAAACAUUAGUUUGCGACGUUCGGACGACAAUGCGAAGAAGACUUUAAGAAACACUUAGGGUUGCAGACACCGACUGGAUUGAAAACGUAAACGCACAAGCCGUGCGGACGUUCUA